ensembl:lincRNA
CCAGAUCCCUGUUAUUUAAAUAAGUAGUAAUUUCUCUCUUCCAAUCUUGUCCAAAUUAGGUUGAUCAGAUCCUUCAUGAGGAGUUCCCACCAUCUGACUUCUCAAACAAGGCAGCAUGCGGUGUUUGGGGCAUUCAACUUCCCAUCUGGCCUCUGCUUUGGGAGUGGCCUGGCAGCUCCCAGGCAAAAGGACCCAUCCCGCCUGGCUCUUGGUGUUUGGAGCACAGGACAGGACAGUUUUGCUUCGCUCUUGAAGUCCCCCUUUCUAAUCAAGGGGCAUGGACUGGUGGCACCCUGUAUCCUCCACUCACUUGGUGUAGAGAAUGAAAGCAAGCCUACUCUUUAUGUUAAAAUACAACUUGCAACUUGCUGUGCAAAGGCGACACUCCCAAAUCUCUCAUCAGUGGCCAACGGGACAUCUAAUUGCUUAGCUGGGCAAACGGGACCCGUUCCUGACUGCAGAAGCUGGAUAAAAACUACGUUCCGGUUUACUCCCAAAUGUUUGUAAGUACGCUUACAUCAACUCAACUUUCAAACUAGAGGUUGCUAAGCCAGGUGGUCAGUUUCAGUGCCGCUUACUCUAUUCUGAUGAUUUUAGGAUCUUCAUUGAGAAACAGAAGUAGAACAGGAAGCAGGGACACAGAAGGAUAGAGAUAGUUAACCGUGUUUCUAAGACAAAGAGAAGAUUUUGCUUUUACAGUGCUACCUACACUCUAGAAUGUGUCCGCGGAGGCGUUUCCUCAGAACUCUGUGUACUGUGUCCAGGUUGUUCGAGAACACAGUAUACUUCAUUCCAGCCACGAAAUCUGUCUUCUCAAUCCAGUGCUGUGUUCCCUAUUAGCUCUGUAGCUUUUCCUUGGAUAUUAGGAAGUAAAACAUCAAAAGCAGCUCAACAGAUAUGAGGAAGAAUGACUUUAGGAGCCACUGUAUCUUAUUUAUUUGAAUAUUGUUGGUUUGACUAAGUCCACAAAACUUGUUAGGGUGAGAAGGAGUUGAUGGACAUGAUUGAGCAGGGGCUUAUGCAUUAUCACCAUAAGCACAGGAUUUGAGCACUCUGUGUUACGCUCUCUAGCCUCCUGACAGUGUACCCUCUUUCCCUCACUACUUGGGAAAUGGACUUACUGAACUCUCUGUGUUAUCUGUCAUUUCAAAUCCAAUAUGUUUUAUUUCUUAAUAUAAACUUAACGGGUGAUACUGGUCUGGGCAGGACUCAAGAACAAAGAAAUAUCAGCAUCCUAAUUGAUCUAAAGGAAUUAGCUAUGUGACAGAGAAAUCAGUACUGCUGACCCAUUUUAUAGACAAGAAUCGGAGCUGGGCACCUCCCACACUGUCCUGUCUUCUCCACGCACACCCUGGGGCCCUAGCUCAUCUGGGAUCCAGCAGAUCUCUUCCUCAGGCUUGUGUUCUCUCCCAGGUACUUAUUUUUUUCUUGUACGAAUAGGACUCCCAAGGAGAUGAUUUCCUUUCCCCUUUGAAAGGCAAGGAAAUCCCUCUAGAACAAGCACUGUCAUGAGGUCAGAUCCAGAUUUUUGCUGAAGCGCCCGGCACCAAGUUUAAACCCACAGAUUAAAAAAGUGGGAGAACUUUCUGCAAAAGUUUCUGAACUCAUGUUGGAGGGCCUGAGCCUUGAGCCGUCAACCCUGGCUCUAGUCAAACAGAUAAGAUGAUUUUACGGUUCCAACAGAAAGCCUGGAAUCUUUGCCACACGGGGGCCCUCAGAAGGCCCCCACACCACGGCGGCCCAGUGUCCACCUGGCUGCCUGGCAACUGACUUUCGGGGACCAGCGGAAAGGUGACAUGGCCCCCCAGAGGCGAGCUGUCAAAUUCUGCCUGCUGCUGAUAAACUGAUUACAAAGCUGCUUAAGGCUGGGCUUGUAAGCAAAAGCAUUUAUCAACUAAUAAUUUGCAAUAAGCUGAUGUCACUCCCAGCUGAGCCCCUAACUGUCUUUACCAUCUGCCUAUUAAGACACCAUUCUUCAUCUACAAUCGGGAGCAGAAGGGGGAGAAUCUCCACCACAGUACCCAACUCGAAAGCUCACGAAUGGCCGGCGUGCAUCCCGCACUCGCGUUAGGACUCCCAUGUUGGGACGGCUUCAUUUCCAGCCCUGCCCAGCCCGGGAUGCUCAGAAAUGAGGUGGAGGGCAAGGGCGAGGAGGGAAGGAAGCCUGUGCCCGUGCUCUGCGGAUGAAUCCGUUUCGUGAGUUCAUGGCAGGAGGCUGUUUUUAAUUUCUCCCUUCCCUUCUUCCGCCUCUGUGUAAACAGCCAUCCAGGAGCCUGAUGACCACCCCCGCCAUGACGCACCAGCUGGAAAUGAACCUCUGUCCCUUUGUCUGCUUGUCCAUUUUCACUAAACUUCGUUGUUUUGCUUUUUAAGAAAAAAAUUUUAAUUCCAAGAGGCUCACCGCACUUCCCCCAGGAGCCGGCUUGGGAGCAGGGCGCAGUGGGGCUGCGGGUCCCUGGGGAAGGCGUCCAGCUGCUCUCUGCCCGCUCCCCUCCUGCAGCCGGCUUCCAAUCGCCCACCCUUCGCAUUUGUAGAUUCUCCUUUGCUCCGCCCUGAGCGCUGAGUGGAAGAGUCCAGAGACGAAGCCAGGCUAGUGGUGCACUUCCGUGUGUCUCCGGGAGCUUCUGUGCAGCCAACACCACUCUGUGCCUUCACUUAAAGUUUUAUGUACAUUUACCCUAAUUUUCUCUUUACACAAAUUCAUUCGAUAAUAAAAUUUAAUAGCAACACAGGAUUAAACAAUCUGGCCAUUGUUGCUAGUUUGAAACCAGAGGUAUAUCCUUGCUCGUACGCCUCUGCUGUCCUGAGGUGACCCUCGACGGCGUCCCGCUCACAGACAGCGCCCCUCUGUGUGGCACAGGGGCCAGCCGAGGGUGUCGCAGCCCCCCGGACAGGGACAGCGGCCACA